GGCUUCAGCAUUUUGGCCAUGAAGUGGGGCCCCCUCAGUUCCAGAGGAUGAAUCAGAGGGGGACAUGGGAAAAGCACGCACAAAGCACGCACCACACUGUGCAGAAAGAACAGCGCCCUGCCGACACCUAGCCUCUGCUCUCCUCAGUCCUUCACUCCUGCGGAUUCUGUCUCUCAGACUUUGGAGAAAUAAGGCAGAGGUAAGACCACUGGGCACCCUCACACCAUGGGGUUGGCCUGUGGCCAGGCCCUACGGUUGCUGUCCCCCAGCGGUCUCCAGGGCUCCGAGACCAGCCCCAGGACUGCUCACCCACCCUCUGGUUUCCUCCUCAAGCUCCUAACACCGGAAAGGCUGACUCUCUGGGUGCCGGCAGAAACGCUUGGCACAGGGCAUCCAGGACGCCCUGCAGGAUCCAUGAGGUCGUAGUGGUUGACCUCUUGGCUGAGGGGCCCCUCCGUCAAGAAAUCUGCCGUGUUUGUCAAGACAAGCAGACAGGCAGGGACUGUCGGCAGAGCAACAAACAGAUGGCUGUGUGGAAACCGGUGACCAGAGCUUGGGGUGCAGCUCAGAGGGCUGAACAAGACUCUCCUCCAAAGUGCAGAAAGGAGCGUGAAACAAUACAUUCAGUUCUCACAGGAUGACUCCUACGGAGGCUCUUCUUUGACUUUUUACUGAAUCAUAAGUAAAAGAAAAUACAAACUUGAGUUUUACAAUUUGUCCUUUCCCUGUGACAGCAACUAGACCAAAUAUUCCAGAAAUCCUUCCCUUAUCAGUUAUUUACAGUGUAUGAUGCUCCAGGAUCAACCUACAUUCACUUCUGAUUUUCCUGUGUAGCUGGAGAGCUAAGUUCCAAGGUCACUAAUUCAUUCCCCCAACCUUUCCCAAGUGCAUGCAUAAAUGAAUCGUGUGAAGGCACAGAGACGGUCUGGAGAAACCAUGCCAUCACCACCUCAAGCCUGGGCACCAGGAGCAUUACAAACAGUAAGAACAUCACGUCAGCGUCCUCACAGAGAUGGUCACCUGUGGCCCACACCUGCAAGGCAUUGCAACUGGAAAAGGACAAGGGGCAAUUCAGAAUUAUUGGGUCUUUGAACCUUAACUUGAGUAAACUAGAAAGGAGGAGCCCCCUUCCUCAAGUCUUCCAAAGAGUUUCCCAGUCUGGAUGACCCCCCAAAACUUGAUGAUUUUGCAUUACCAUGGAUCAUGCUUUUGGAUGCCUCUGCUAAAUUCAUUUGGGCCUCUCUAAUAUUUCAAAGAUAACUGCUUCAUCUGCCACAGUAGGGUCUGUCUAGAGCCUACAAAACAAACACACAGGAAAAUGCAAUGUCAUAGCAACUAUGAUGGCCAGAAACACACCUACCACAUUAUGCAUUUACUUCUUUUUACCCUGCUUCCAAAACAGAUCUGAGAUGACUGCAUAGACAGAUGCAAAGCUUUGGAGUGAAACCCAAAGUAUGGAGGGAAACCAUUAAAACACUCUGUAGUGACAUCCCCUUCCAUUUUCAUUAUGGACUCCUGGAACAAAACUAUGAGCUAGAGGUUGGUCUCCAAUGGAAGCAUUCUCCACUGGUCCUCAGCUGCCCAGGAUCUACAUCCUUGGAAACCUCUCCAGGAUGGGACCUCCUGGGGUGACAGGCCAAUCUGUCCCCAGUGCCCUCCGCUAGGAGGUCUGGCUUCUGUGCUCAGGAAGGGCAUUCCAGAACCUCUCCCAAUGUGGCACUCCUGCAAGGCAGCUGCCACGCAUAACCAAGAACUCUCUCCCGGGGCGAGGGGGCUGCCCAGGGCCGGGAGCUCUCUCCCAGGAUGAAGGGCUGGAUGCUGGGUUAGGCCAACUCAUGUUUCUCCUCACUGGCCAUGGAAACUCGCUUCUAAGAUUAAUUUCCAAAUGAAUAAGUGUUAUCACCAGAUGUCAUCCUGUCAAGCUGCCACUCUGAGGACAAACCUUUCUUUUGUAAUGGGGAAAACAUAACUUCAGCCAGCCUACGUACAGUUCCGUACAAUGAGUUUCAUUCUGUAUUGGCCACACAUGACUCCCGUGGGCUGUACUGUUAGUUCUUGGUGCGAGCACUUCCCGCCCCAUGUAUGGCUUUGCCAUCACCUGCGGAACCGAUGUUUUAUGCAGCCAGCUGCUCCAUGUCUGUCAGCACCUCCACAAUCGUGUGCUUCCUCAGCAACUCCCAGGGCCACUGGGGACAGUCACCACCCCAACAGGAGGACGCACCACCACCAUGAACGGACUGCACGCGGACGGGAGCCUUAAACCACCCUGUCUAAGGGAGACAUGGAGAAGUCAGUCCUUGGGUAACAGAUGCAAACUUUUUCAUGCCCCUAAAUUAAUA